AUUGAACGCUGGCGGCAGGCCUAACACAUGCAAGUCGAACGAGUGGCGGACGGGUGAGUAAUGUCUGGGAAACUGCCCGAUGGAGGGGGAUAACUACUGGAAACGGUAGCUAAUACCGCAUACCAUCGGAUGUGCCCAGAUGGGAUUAGCUAGUAGGUGGGGUAACGGCUCACCUAGGCGACGAUCCCUAGCUGGUCUGAGAGGAUGACCAGCCACUCUGGGACUGAUACACGUCCCAGACUACUACGGUAGGCAGCAGUGGGGAAUAGUGAGCAAUGGGCGCAAGCCUGAAGCAGCAAUGCCGCGGGAAUGAAGAAGGCCUUCGGGUUGUAAAGUACUUUCAGCGCUGAGGCGUUACUCACAGAAGAAGCAACGGCUAACUCCGUGCCAGCAGCCGCGGUAAUAC
rnacentral:rRNA from 1 species